rnacentral:rRNA from 1 species
AUCUUGCAGCAGUAUGAGGGUGCGUCCGGUCAGAAAGUGAACUUCCACAAGUAAGCAAUUUUCUUCGGGAAAGGAACGGAUGAUACUACAAAAGAAGAGCUAAAGCAAGUUCUGGGCAUCAAGGAGGAGGCAUUGAGUGAGCGAUAUUUGGGGCUACCCAUGGUGGUAGGGAGCUCGAAGGACGGAACUUUCAAAUAUGUAAAGGUGAGAGCAAGAGGGAAAGUCUCAGGAUGGAAAGGACAAGGACUUUCAAAAAUGGCUAGAGAGGUGCUUGUUAAAUCCGGCCUUCAAUCAACACCAACCUUUACUAUGAGCUGCUUCCAACUCACAAAGAAAAUGUGCGGGAAUCUGUCAUCUAUUUUGUCAAACUUCUGGUGGGGUGAAGCAAAUGGGAAGAAGAAAGUUCAUUGA